GGCCAGAUAGCCAAGUGGUAAGGCAGCGGUUUGCAAAACCGCCAUCGCGGGUUCGAAUCCCACUCUGGCCUCCA
rnacentral:tRNA from 1 species